CUAACCUUAGCUCAGUUGGUAGAGUUGUGGACUGUAGUUGGACUAAUCUAAAUUGGAAAUCCUUAGGUCGCUGGUUCGAAUCUGGCAGGUCGGA
rfam:Ipomoea nil DNA, scaffold: scaffold3056, cultivar: Tokyo-kokei standard.